GUGGNGAUCUUCCGCAUGGACGAAGUCUGACGGAGCAACGCCGCGUGAGUGAUGAAGGCCUACGGGUCGUAAAGCUCUGUCCUUAGGGAAGAACACUUCAGUUGUUAAUAUCAGCUGGAGCUGACGGUACCUUUGGAGGAAGCCCUGGCUAACUACGUGCCAGCAGCCGCGGUAAUACNGUAGAGGGCUAGCGUUGUCCGGAAUCAUUGGGUGUAAAGGGUACGCAGGCGGUUUGGUCAGUCAAAUGGUGAAAUCCACCGGCUCAACCGGUGAACUGCCUUUGAUACUGCCAAACUUGAGGAUAAGAGAAGAAAACGGAAUUCCUAGUGUAGCGGUGAAAUGCGUAGAUAUUAGGAAGAAUACCAAUGGCGAAAGCAGUUUUCUAACUUACUCCUGACGCUCAGGUACGAAAGCUAGGGUAGCAAACGGGAUAAGAUACCCCGGUAGUCCUAGCCGUAAACGCUGGAUACUAGGUGUUGGAGGUUCGACUCCUUCAGUGCCGUUAAGUUAACGCUUUAAGUAUCCCACCUGGGGAUUACGACCGCAAGGUUGAAACUCAAAGGAAUUGACGGGGACCCUCACAAGCGGCGGAGCAUGUGGUUUAAUUCGAAGCAACGCGGAAACCCUUACCAGAACUUGGCAUUCCCUGGGACCUUUCUUAAUCGGAAUUUUNUUUUNGGAACAUAGGAAACAGGNGGGGCCAUGGGUUGCCNCANCCUNGGGNNGNGAAAUUUUGGGUUAAGNCCCCA
rnacentral:rRNA from 1 species